AUGAAAACAGUCUUAGAGCAAGAGCAAGUGAUGCAACCACAAUUUACCAUCCCAUCUAGGCGUACAAUUGCUAUGGACCGUUUUCAGCUACACUUGGAUGAAAAACAAAAGUUAAAGGCCUUCUUUAAGUCUGACUGCAAUAAGGUAACACUUACUACUAAUUGUUGGACUUCUAUACAAAAUCUCAGCUACUUAACCCUUACGACAUACUCUGUGGAUAACGAGUGGAAAUAUCAAAAAAGAAUUAUAAGCUUUUGCGUAGUUCCAAACCACAAAGGUGAGACAAUUGGUAGGAGGAUUGAAGAAGUGUUAAGGGAUUGGGGUAUUUAG